UACGUAGGGUGCAAGCGUUAUUCGGAAUCACUGGGCGUAAAGGGCGCGCAGGCGGCUUUGUAAGUCUAAAGUGAAAUCCUUGGGCUUAACCCAAGGGCUGCCUUAGAUACUGGAAAACUCGAGUUCGGGAAAAGCAAGCGGAAUUCCUGGUGAAGGGGUGAAAUCCGUAGAUAUCAGGAAGAACACCAGUGGCGAAAGCGGCUUGCUAAAACGCAACUGACGCUUAGGCGCGAAAGCGUGGGGAGCAAACAGG
rnacentral:rRNA from 1 species